CCAUUCCGCUUUCUCUCUCUAGGGUUUCUCUCUCUCUUCCGCCCGGCGAUUUCUAGGCGAGGCCUGCAAAUCCGACGAUUCCGCGUGAAGGGAAGCGCAUAUCCAAGGCGGCGAAGCGAUGGAGCGCGCACGGAGGAGGGGCUUGAGGAUUCGGUGGUAGAGGAGGAGCGAGGGGAGGGGUACGCACGAAGCUGCUUAUGAUCUGCGCGCACAAGGUAGGGAGCCUAAAUCUGGAGCGGUUGAUAAGUUGGUCAGCUACAUAGAGCAUAGGUGGGGAGCUACAGUUUGGAAGAUAAGGAGGUGGAAGGGGGAGUGUUGACGCUCGUUAUUGACACACUUUUAGUGCCAUUUAACUAGUGUUUUCAUGCAUAUUCUUAUACUAACCCGCCACUUGGCACCUGAAAUAACCCCAUAUUCGUAUGUGUUGUGUUUUGGAUCAUAUUGCAAAAUCACAGGAGAUACGACAUAAUUGAAGGGUUUUUCUACAGGUUGGAAUUGGGCCUGGACUUUGGAUAUUGGAAGGCCCAAACACGAACAUUGAACUGCAGACCCGCAGGAGGAGCUCUCCACCCUGUUCUCAUCAUCCAACUUUACUUUGCAGAAGAAAUUAGGAUCUUCCUGUUGUAUCUCUCUAAAGCGGUCUAUAGCCUCUUGCAUGUCCUUGUACUUUUUUGCCCUCCUAAUCUUGGACCGAAAGUUGCUGACAUCUUUCCCUUCAUAUGGCACCAUCUGUGCUGAACCAUACAUCUCAUUCAUCAGCUGCAUUAUACGCCCUGUGGACAGGUUGCAUCCGUGCAGUAGGGUAAUAAACUCCUUCUCUUGCUGCGGGAUCCCUUUGUGAGACCUUAGGAAUUUUUUCAGAGAUGGCUUCACAACUAGAUCAUGGUUGUGGUCAGCCAUAAAGUAGGCCACAUGCCACCUCCAUCUAUGAGAUUCACAACCAUCGUGGCUUUGCAUCCUGUGUGAAUCAUCUUCCCCCUUUUCCUUUUCUUUCCACCAUCAACUUUCUUCUUCUCUUUUGUUUCAUCAUUGUUGCUCUCAGGUUCAGAAUCAUGUUCAGAAGAUUUGUCCCCAUCAGACUCAGCAGUUGCUUCCUCUUCCUUAGCCUUCUUACCAUAGCCCUCUUUGUUACACACAUGUCACUUUGUGCUGCUCCCUUGAUAAACCUGACAGACAUGUAGAACUAAUGUGAAUUGAGAAGCCAAUCCUCUUUGCAUAUGUGUUGUAGUAAGACUUUGCUUCCGCUUUAGAUGCAAAAGUCUGUCCAGUGUACGGGACAGGAGGUGUACACCAAACUUCUUCAACAACCUCAUCAGCAACACCAUAAACUUGAUUGUCAUCAGCAAAUUCUGUACUAGCAGCAGCAACUUGGUUGGUGUCAGGAAAUGGACUACUCUGCACCAGGUUUUGCGCAUCACCAGCAGUUAGCAGGGUGCUCCCAUCUGCAAUUUGAACCUGCUCACAGGACCCCAACCCAGCCCCUGCUAAAUCUGCUUGAGUACAGAAGGAAGGAUUUGCAGCGUCAACAUCCAGGAAAUCAAAGUCUGGCGGUAGCUUGUUCAAAUCCAUAAUGACUGUACCUAAUGACAAGCAACUUAAUUUAGUUUAACAGGAAAAAAUAUAACAAGAUGAAGGCACAAUAGUCCAGUAAUCUAGCAAUUUUUCUCCAUGUUCUAAAAAACCAGCACUUAUUUUUUCCGCAGCACUAACCAAUUGUGUUUACUAACUCAAGUCUUACAUUUUUGUUUUUGCUAAAUACACAACCAGCAGGGACGGAUGGUGGUAACAGCACAGGAAAUCAUAAAGCAGAUGAUGUAUGCAGAACAUUCAAAUCGUGCAGGCAAAAAAAAAUACCAAAUUUGUGGUUUGCGUUCCUGUGUGUUUGUGGGCAGUUGGGAAUUUGGAGGAUUGUUCUGUAGUUUUUUUUUCGGUUCUUAGAUCCAGAUCUCAUGGGUUUGAUAUAACCAAGCAAAUAUGUGUAUCAUAAAGCUGUGAUAUGUGUUGGUGAUCUCUGGGUUUCAAAA